CCACCCCUAAACCAUAUAUAUUCUUGUAGGGGACAAUAAAACAAAUGGAAUGAUAUAAAAGGGAAGUCCCGAGGGGGUCACCCCACCCCUCUUGUUUGAAAACUUGUAAACGGUCAACAUCCACACCCCUAAACCAUAUAUAUUCUUGUAUGGGACAACAAGGCUAAUCAAAUGAAAUUAAAGGGAAGUUCCUGGGGGUCGCCCCCACCCUGUUCAAUUUGAGAAUGUGCUAUUAUCUUGUAAACGGUGCAGAUCCCCACCCCUAAACCAUAUAUAUUCUAGUAGGGGACAAUAAAACAAAUGAAAUGAUAUAAAAGGGAAGUCCCGAGGGGUCACCCCACCCCUCUUGUUUGAAAACUUGUAAACGGUCAACAUCCCCACCCCUAAACCAUAUAUAUUCUUGUAUGGGACAAUAAAACAAAUCAAAUGAAAUGUAGGUAAAGUCCCUGGGGUCAUCACCACCCCGUCCUGUUUGAAUACUUGUAAAUGGUGGAGAUCCCCACUAGUAAGCCAUAUAUAUUCUUGUAUGGG
rnacentral:lncRNA from 1 species